UAACAUGUGACACAAUGACGUGUUCUUCCAAACUGGUUACGUGGAGGAGUUUGGCUUUCCACCCUGACGGCAAGAGAUGGAGUGCAAUGGAGAAGACUUGUGAACACAGCAACUUGGACUCUGCCAGGUAGAGUGAAGGAGCAACUUUUUUUGAAGCAGAUUACUUGUUGUUUGCUGGACUUGUGGGUAUUUUACUGAAAUGUGUAAUUGCUUGAGGGAAGUGUUAUUCAGCUCAUUCCAUUCAUUGUGCCUUAAUGCUAUUGUCAGAUACUUAACAGUCACUUUUUGGCAACACAUAUUUUCCACACUAAAAGGCACUCUUAAAAGCCUUUAAUUUUCUCAAAAAUCGACAGUGCGCCUUGUGUAUUACUUCUUUUUGCGCUUACUGAGCUCGAACUGAUUUUAUAAAGCCAAACCCAAACACAGCGCAUAAUACAUGAUGGUAUACAACUAAACCACAUUGGGAGCCAACUAUGACGUUUAACUCAGUUAUCACAAUUAGAAGAUGCUCAACAAGUCCCAAAUCCGCGCAACGUCGCGUCGUGCCUCCAAAUACCCGGAGACUGUUUUUGUGUUUUUGAAUUGUCGAUGUAUGGUGCGAUGCAGGACGACUCAGACGCAUAGCUGUCGAUUUUUUUGUGUGCUCAAGAACUCUUUUUAUUUCUCGCGCCGGUGUGCCUUAUGUAUGAAAAUAUUCCCGGUUAUUGAUAAUGCGCCUUAUAAUGGGGUCCGUCAUUUUUUGUGGCCAUUACACUUAGGGUUAUUCAUUCAUCGUGAGCUGUAUUUGACUGUUGUAAACCUUCCAGAAUAAAGAAAAUUGUUGGAUCA